CUACGGGCGGCUGCAGUGAGGAAUUUUGCGCAAUGGGGGAAACCCUGACGCAGCAACGCCGCGUGAGUGAUGAAGGCCUUCGGGUCGUAAAGCUCUGUUAAGUGGGAAGAACCCACCCUGUGCUAAUAUCACAGGGUGCUGACGGUACCACUGAAGGAAGCACCGGCUAACUCCGUGCCAGCAGCCGCGGUAAUACGGAGGGUGGAAGCGUUAUUCGGAAUUACUGGGCGUAAAGGGCGCGUAGGCGGCCUUUUAAGUCAGAUGUGAAAUCCCGGGGCUCAACCCCGGCAGUGCAUCUGAAACUAAGAGGCUUGAGUAUGGGAGAGGGAAGUGGAAUUCCUGGUGUAGAGGUGAAAUUCGUAGAUAUCAGGAGGAACACCGGUGGCGAAGGCGACUUCCUGGACCAAUACUGACGCUGAGGCGCGAAGGCGUGGGGAGCAAACAGGAUUAGAUACCCGUGUAGUC
rnacentral:rRNA from 1 species